UACGGGGGGGGCAAGCGUUGUUCGGAAUUACUGGGCGUAAAGGGCGCGUAGGCGGCCAGCACAAGUCAGUUGUGAAAUCUCCGAGCUUAACUCGGAACGGUCAACUGAUACUGUGCGGCUAGAGUGCAGAAGGGGCAACUGGAAUUCUUGGUGUAGCGGUGAAAUGCGUAGAUAUCAAGAGGAACACCUGCGGCGAAGGCGGGUUGCUGGGCUGACACUGACGCUGAGGAGCGAAAGCGUGGGGAGCAAACAGG
rnacentral:rRNA from 1 species